rnacentral:lncRNA from 1 species
UCUGCAUAUUUAUCUUUAGGCAGAUUGUUCCUAAAAGACCAUCCUCUGAACAUGCUGAUAAUUAAUUAUGGAUAGGUCUAACUCUUCUGAGACUCCCAAAAACUAGUCAUAAUUUUGAUGAACCAUCAUGACAGAUAAUCAAGGUCGAUAACUUAAACACUACCCAUCUACCAUGAUAAUUGCUCAAUAUUGCAUAUUUUAGUGCUUUAAAUAGAACUAUGUAAUAGAAAAACAAAAACACAAAAAAUAUCC